GGCAAGAUGGCCGAGCGGUCUAAGGCGCUAGACUCAAGUUUUCAUACUUCUACAGGUCAUCUGUAGUGUCUUCUAGUGGGGCAACCCGCGCGAGUUCGAAUCUCGCUCUUGUCA